ensembl:lincRNA Gm37073 predicted gene, 37073
GGCUAACUACAUAGACCUGAAGACUCUUGCCCAUUAACAGGAAUACUACAGUGAAAGUUAAGCUAUGCCACUGAAAAUAACCAUGUAUCUGAUAAAAGUUUAAUAUGAAGUAGCUUAUAUUUUAUAAAUAUAAGCUAUUUAUNNNNNNNNNNNNNNNNNNNNNNNNNNAUAUACAAAAAUCGGAAUAUAAAAGAGAAUAUAUAAAAACAUUUUUUGAAACCCCCAAAAAGAAAAAGAAAAAAACCCAACCUCUCCUACAAUUCAACAACACACUAACAACAAUAAACCCACUAAUUCAGUUUAAAAAUAGCUCGAAGGACCUGAAUGGACAUCUCCCUAAAGAACGCGUGCAAGUCUAUGAAAGGAUGCUCGAUGCCACUAAUCAUUAGAAGAACAGCAGAAUGCCCAUCAUCUAUGACUUCACACCCAUUUAAGAUGUCAACUGAAGACCACAAUCCAAACUAUAAAAAAGAUAGUUAGCUGUUGGGGAUACAACACGAAGGUCCUUGUGCCCAGAGACCUCCAGGAAAACCAGCAAUAUUCAGCAUACAGGAUUGUCCUCUCAAAGGGAUGGAUGUAAUUCUUGCUCUUCCAUCCAGAAAGCGGGGAAUGUAUGUGUUUGUGCAAUUACCUACAUGUAUGUGUGUACAGCACGCUGUGCCUGGUGCUAGAGGAGGUCAGAAGAGGGCACUGAAUCCCGCAGACAUGCACAUACAGAUAGUUGUGAACUGCCAACUGGGUGCUGGGACUGGAACCUGGGUCCUCUCAAGAACAACAAGUGUUCUUAACUGCUAUACCAUCUCUCCAGCCCAAGGGGAGCCUCCCCAGCCCCACCUGCCCACCCUGCCCAAUGAGUAUGGAGUCUCUGUUUAGCAAACAGAAAAACUUGCCAUUGUUGAGUUUUGAGACAGAGUCCUAUUGUUCGCCAAGGCUGGACUCAAACUGAUAGGCACAAGUGAAGUUUCUACCUCCAUGUCCUGAACAGCUAAGACUUACAGUGUUGCCCUGUUCGCUGUGCUUGGCUUGGGGGCUAUCACACAACAGCUUAAAGCAGAGUCAGUGCUACUGCUCUGGAUGCUGGCUGAGAAGGUGAAUUUUAUGCUGGCGGUGGGAGGAAGGUGUUAAACUGAAUUCUUGAAUAGUCCUGACCACAGAUCGUCCCCAUUAAUGUCACUCUUCUCUCCAGGCGUAUGACUCACUGGGUAAAAAAUUCUGAGAAAACAGAUAUGAUAUCGAUAACAAC